UACAGAGGUGGCAAGCGUUGUUCGGAAUUACUGGGCGUAAAGGGCGCGUAGGCGGUCUUGUAAGUUCCGUGUGAAAGCCCUUGGCUCAACUGAGGAAGUGCACCCGAAACUGAGUAGCUGGAGUACGAAAGAGGGUCGCGGAAUUCCCGGUGUAGAGGUGAAAUUCGUAGAUAUCGGGAGGAACACCGGUGGCGAAGGCGGCGACCUGGGUCGAGACUGACGCUGAGGCGCGAAAGCGUGGGGAGCAAACAGG
rnacentral:rRNA from 1 species